rnacentral:rRNA from 1 species
GACGAACGCUGGCGGCGCGCUUAACACAUGCAAGUCGAACGGAAAGGCCUGCUUUCCCUUGUGGAUUGCGGGUACUCGAGUGGCGAACGGGUGAGUAACACGUGAGUGAUCUGCCCCCAACUUGGGUAUAAGCCUGGGAAACUGGGUCUAAUUCCCGAUAGGACUGCAGGGUGGUGCCUGUGGUGGAAAACGAUUUUCUAGUGGUUGGGGAUGAGCUCGCGGCCUAUCAGCUUGUUGGUGGGGUAAUGGACUACCAAGGCGGCGACGGGUAGCCGGCCUGAGAGGGUGGACAGCCACAUUGGGACUGAGAUACGGCCCAGACGGCUACGGGAGGCAGCAGUGGGGAAUAAUGCACAAUGGGCGGAAGCCUGAUGCAGCGACGCCGCGUGGGGGAUGACGGCCUUCGGGUUGUAAACUCCUUUCGACCGCGAGGAAGCCACCUGGUUGGAAGGGUGGUGACGGUAGUGGUAGAAGAAGCACCGGCUAACUACGUG